UUUUUUUUUUCCCCAGAUGGAGUCUCCCUUUGUCGCCCAGGCUUGAGUGCAGUGGUGUGAUCUCAGCUCACUGCAACCUCCGCCUCCCGGGUUGAAGUCAUUAUCCUGCCUCAGCCUCCCAAGUAGCUGGGACUACAGGCACCCGCCACCACGCCCGGCUAAUUUUUUGUAUUUUUAGUGGAGAUGGGUUUUACCUUGUUAGCCAGGAUGGUCUCCAUCUCCUGACCUCGUGAUCCGCCCGCCUUGGCCUCCCAAAGUGCUGAGAUUACAGGCGUGAGCAACUGCGCCCGGCCCUAGUUUUUGUAUUUUUAGUAGAGAUGGGGUUUCACCAUAUUGUCCAGGCUGGUCUCAAACUUCUGACCUAGUGAUCCGCCCUCCUCGGCCUCCCAAAGUGCUGGGAUUACAGGCAUGAGCCACUGCGUCCAGCGUGCGGUGGUGUGUUAAAGGAGGCACUGGGUGAGGGUCACCGGGGAGGGCUCCGGGUGGGUGGGGUGUCCAGGCCUCUGCCUCGUGCCCCCCAAGCCUCAUUCAUGCUGGAGACUAUCAGCUUCUCCCCAGUUCACUCCCCAGGUGUGACCAGGGGCAGGGACGGUAGGCACGGCAGGCAGAAGGGGCCAGCAGGACCCCAAGGCCACAUACUUAGGAGCCUGCUGUAAGGCUCUGAAGGCCGGGGAGGGGGCUGUAGGGCCAGAGCAGGGGAGGAGGUCCCCACUGCAGCUCGAGGGCAGAAGUAUCCCUGGAGAAAGCAGGGGGAGGGGGCGCUUCCUCCAGAACUCCGCCAGGCCAUUGUUACACUUUCUGAGGCCAGGGAAUUUUUCCAGGAGGUUGUGACAACCAAAAAUAAUAAUAAUAUCGCCCCUACCCCAGCAGCAGGGAUUCUGGAAAAAACAGCUGCUGCCGUUAUCGGGGCCGAGGAAAAAACAAGGUCAGGCACUGGGAAGAUUUAAUUUCAGGCGCGUCCCCUCAGCCCGCCGGCCACUCACCGCACGCACGUGUCCUCCCGCGCGGGGUGGCGGCAGGCGGGAGCCACGUGGAGCAGCCGCGGUCCCUCCGGCCACGCCUGGCUACCGAUGUCGCGAAGUGGGUCUUGGGCCAGGCCCCCGCUCCCCGAGGCUGUUGCUGCGGCUCCCGCCCGCCGGGAGACGACCAGGGGAAGGGGUGGGCCGCGCUGGGCCUUCUGUCCGUCCGUCCUUCCCCAACUCUGCGGGGGCUAAAUCCGUCUUCAACAAACCUCGCAAAAAAGCCAGGGGCGGGGGUUGACGCCGCCGUUGCUGGAGAAUAGGUCAGAAGUGACAGCAGAAUGGGCCGCUGAGACCCCCGUCCCCGCCUUGGUCCUCCGUCGGCCUGGCGGGUGGCGACGUGGGAGGGCCCGCUCAGAGGCGGGUGUCGCCCGGGCCGGGGAAUUCCUCGCGCCGACGCCCAUUCCCCACCGGCCGCACUCGCCCAGGGGCCGAAAGGGGCCCCGGUGGAGGACGCGGUGGGCGCUGGGUCCCGCUCUAGCUGCUGCCGCCGGCCAUGCCCGGGUCUCCGGGAGCGCAGUCGUUUGGCACAAAGUAGCGCCGAAGACCCUGCCGGGUGUCCCGCCGCGGCUGCCGCUGAGCCCGCGCAGGGCCGGCUCGUGAACGCGUGCGGGGCUUUCGAGGGCGCUUCCUCUACUCUGCGCGCCCGGGGAGCUGUCCGGUCGCCGCUGGCGGGCAGAGGCUUCGGGCCUCAUGGGUGCCCCGAGACCCCGGAUCCUGCGCUGGGAAUGUCGACGUUUCACACGAGCCAGCGGAGCGGGCCCGAGCCUUGGCCGGGAACCGGCGCCGCGUGCGCACU
ensembl:lncRNA